GGCCUCUCAGGGCCCUCCCGCUGAACGUGCACCUGCAGGCCAGGUGCGGGCUCCCCACCAGCAGCUGCGCUCGCUCGCUUCGCAGGGGCCAGUUCCGAGCCCCGUGGAAAAUGUGGCCUCUUCGUGAAUUAGAUGGGUACAUAAAACCUGAGAGAUCUAAAUGUGGCCCUUGAAUCUUUUAAAGUAUGAAGUAAGUCAUCAGUAGACUAACCAAACAACUUGAGACCAUCAAAAGGGAGGUCUUCAACAGUACUCUGCAACUCCGUGGGGAAGCUGGACAACUGAAACCAAGAUGGUCAUCACAUCACAAUUGCAGUGGAAAUGGAUCAGGCUGCAGUACUGGCCAAUCUAAGGAGGCCUGUAAUUAUGUUUUUGCUAAGAGUUGCUAAGAGUUGUCCUUCCUUUAUGAUGGCCUUAAAUUGCUUGUGGUGCUCCUCUGGCAAAUACUCAAUAAAGAUGUUGAAUUCAUUA